UACAUGGCCUGGAUUUCCAUAUUAUGCUGCCCAGAAUAAAAGACGAUGCAGUCCAGAUAAAAACAUUGUAUGGCUCAAUAAUCUUUACCAAACUUGAUGCAUCAGAUGAAGUCUUUGACUAUCUAGAAAGGGAUUUUGUAAGCUAGUACUGGACAUGAAGACAGUCACUUGGAAAUGAUGAUUGUGCAACAGCGGUUAAACAUAUGCAAUACAUCAUAUGGUGACCAGACAGGGAGGAAACUAGGGAAAUGGUUAUCCACCAACAGCCCAAGUGCUUGGUUGAUAAGAGGAGCCACAGCAUUAAACAUUACUGCACAAAGUGGUGUGCUUUGCUAACACUUAUGAUUGUGAU